rnacentral:rRNA from 1 species
CGGCAAGACGGAAAGACCCCGUGAACCUUUACUAUAGCUUGACACUGAACAUUGAGCCUUGAUGUGUAGGAUAGGUGGGAGGCUUUGAAGUGUGGACGCCAGUCUGCAUGGAGCCGACCUUGAAAUACCACCCUUUAAUGUUUGAUGUUCUAACGUUGACCCGUAAUCCGGGUUGCGGACAGUGUCUGGUGGGUAGUUUGACUGGGGCGGUCUCCUCCUAAAGAGUAACGGAGGAGCACGAAGGUUGGCUAAUCCUGGUCGGACAUCAGGAGGUUAGUGCAAUGGCAUAAGCCAGCUUGACUGCGAGCGUGACGGCGCGAGCAGGUGCGAAAGCAGGUCAUAGUGAUCCGGUGGUUCUGAAUGGAAGGGCCAUCGCUCAACGGAUAAAAGGUACUCCGGGGAUAACAGGCUGAUACCGCCCAAGAGUUCAUAUCGACGGCGGUGUUUGGCACCUCGAUGUCGGCUCAUCACAUCCUGGGGCUGAAGUAGGUCCCAAGGGUAUGGCUGUUCGCCAUUUAAAGUGGUACGCGAGCUGGGUUUAGAACGUCGUGAGACAGUUCGGUCCCUAUCUGCCGUGGGCGCUGGAGAACUGAGGGGGGCUGCUCCUAGUACGAGAGGACCGGAGUGGACGCAUCACUGGUGUUCGGGUUGUCAUGCCAAUGGCACUGCCCGGUAGCUAAAUGCGGAAGAGAUAAGUGCUGAAAGCAUCUAAGCACGAAACUUGCC